CCUACGGGAGGCAGCAGUGGGGAAUAUUGGGCAAUGGGCGCAAGCCUGACCCAGCAACGCCGCGUGAAGGAAGAAGGCUUUCGGGUUGUAAACUUCUUUUUAGAGGGAAGAGCAGAAGACGGUACCUCUUGAAUAAUCCACGGCUAACUACGUGCCAGCAGCCGCGGUAAUACGUAGGUGGCAAGCGUUGUCCGGAUUUACUGGGUGUAAAGGGCGUGUAGCCGGGCUGAUAAGUCAGAUGUGAAAUCCCGUGGCUCAACCACGGAACUGCAUUUGAAACUGUCGGUCUUGAGUAUCGGAGAGGCAGGCGGAAUUCGUGGUGUAGCGGUGAAAUGCGUAGAUAUUAGGAGGAACACCAGUGGCGAAGGCAGCCUGCUGGACUGUAACUGACGGUGAGGCGCGAAAGUGUGGGGAGCAAACAGGAUUAGAUACCCCUGUAGUC
rnacentral:rRNA from 1 species